GACGAACGCUGGCGGCGUGCUUAACACAUGCAAGUCGAACGGAAAGGCCUGCUUUCCCUUGUGGAUUGCGGGUACUCGAGUGGCGAACGGGUGAGUAACACGUGAGUGAUCUGCCCCCAACUUGGGUAUAAGCCUGGGAAACUGGGUCUAAUUCCCGAUAGGACUGCAGGGUGGUGCCUGUGGUGGAAAACGAUUUUCUAGUGGUUGGGGAUGAGCUCGCGGCCUAUCAGCUUGUUGGUGGGGUAAUGGCCUACCAAGGCGGCGACGGGCAGCCGGCCUGAGAGUGUGGACGGCGACAUUGGGACUGAGAUACGGCCCUGACGCCUACGGGAGGCAGCAGUGGGGAAUAUUGCACACUGGGCGGAAGCCUGAUGCAGCGACGCCGCGUGGGGGAUGACGGCCUUCGGGUUGUAAACUCCUUUCGACCGCGAGGAAGCCACCUGGUUGGAAGGGUGGUGACGGUAGUGGUAGAAGAAGCACCGGCUAACUACGUG
rnacentral:rRNA from 1 species